UAACAGCAGCCCCAAAUCGG
rnacentral:piRNA from 1 species